AGAGUUUGAUCCUGGCUCAGGGUGAACGCUGGCGGCGUGCCUAACACAUGCAGUCGAGCGGUGCGGCUGGAGGCUUUUGCCGAAGGCUGCACAGCGGCGGACGGGUGCGUACGCGUAGGAACGUGCCCCUCGGAGGCGGGUAGCCGCGGGAAACUGCGGGUAAACCGCCAACGCUCGGGAGAGGAAAGGCCGAAAGGCGCCGAGGGAGCGGCCUGCGUCCCAUCAGGUAUUGGUGGGGUAAUGGCCCACCAAGCCGACGACGGGUAGCCGGUCUGAGAGGAUGGCCGGCACAAGGGCACUGAGACACGGGCCCUACUCCUACGGGAGGCAGCAGUGGGGGAUCUUGGCAAUGGGCGAAAGCCUGAUCCAGCGACGCCGCGUGGAGGACGAAGCCCUUCGGGGUGUAACUCCUUUUGUCGGGGAAAAAGUUCUGAUGGUACCCGACGAAUAAGCCCCGGCUAACUAGUGCCAGCAGCCGCGGUAAUACGUAGGGGGCGAGCGUUACCCGGAAUUACUGGGCGUAAGGGUGCGUAGGCGGCCCCGUGUGUCCGGUGUUAAAGCCCACGGCUCAACCGUGGAUAUGGCUGGAAACUGCGGGGCUUGGGUGCGGCAGAGGCAGACGGAACUGCUGGUGUAGGGGUGAAUCCGUAGAUAUCAGCAGGAACGCCGGUGGAGAAGUCGGUCUGCUGGGCCGUAACCGCGCUGAGGCACGAAAGCUAGGGGAGCGAACCGGAUUAGAUACCCGGGUAGUCCUAGCCGAAACGAUGCUCACUAGGUGUGGGGCGAAGAGCUCCGUGCUGAAGCUAACGCGUUAAGUAGCCGCCUGGGGAGUAUGCCCGCAAGGGUGAAACUCAAUGAAUUGACGGGGAAGGGCGAUUCGCGGCCGC
rnacentral:rRNA from 1 species